UUUUCUAUGUGUAUAAGAAUUUUGAAAUCAAUUAAACGAUGCAAAAGAGAGAUAUUGGCUUUGGAAGAUUGGCAUCAAGAUUGGAGAAGGAGGCCGGCCAAUAUCCAAGCACAUUUUUGAAGUUAUCGCCAAUUUGGUAACUCUGAUCCUUUUUAAUUUUUUUGUACUUGUUUUUAACUUAAUUUUUAAGAAGUAUGAAAAAUUUGAGUUAAGAUCAACGGUUUAUUUAUUAGCUAUUGAGGUUUAAAUCUAUUAUAGGAAUUACUAGGAUUUGGUUUAGGAUUUGAUUAGAGUUUGGUUUAGGGUUUAGGAUUUGGAUUAGGGUUUGAUUUAGGGUUUAGGAUUUGGUUAGGAUUUGGUUUAGGGUUUAGAAAUUGUAUUAGGAUUUGAUUAAGAUUUGGUUAGGAUUUGAUUUAGGAUUUGGUUGGAAUUUGGUUUAAGAUUUGUUUAGGGUUUGAUUUAGGAUUUGGUUUAGGAAUUAGUUAGGGUUUUAUUUAGGAUUUGGAUUAGGAUUUGGUUAGGAUUUGAUUUAAGGUUUAGGAUUUGAUUUAGGAUUUGGUUAGGGUUUGGUUUAGGAUUUGGUUGGGGUUUGAUUUAAGAUUUGUUUAGGAUUUGAUUUAGGGUUUAGGAUUUUAUUAAGAUUUAAGAUUCAAUUUUUUUUGGCUUAAAGUUUGAAUGAACUUCAAUAGGAUUUUAAUUAGAAUUAAAUUAAGAUUGAAUUGAGAUGUAUUUGAGUGAUAUUUGUGAUCUUUCUAAUAUUUCUUUAAGAAUUCUUAUUAUUUGUUUGAAAUUUCUUUGAGGUUUCUUUGAAUUUGAUUAAGCUGGCUUACCAUUAUUAUGGUCUAAUUAGAGUAUUGUUAGUAUUCU
rnacentral:lncRNA from 1 species